UAUGACAUUUACACAUAAUUUAUUUUACAGGCGGUAUUUGCUGGAAAUUUCAUACUUGGGAGUGCAUCGUCAGCUUUAGCCAAGCUCAAAAAUGAAUAUGUUAUAUCUGUUAUUUCAUGUGUUAUAGAAGACUUAGUAAAAGGGGAAUUUAUGCAAUUAGGUUCUAAAGAAGAUGAAACUGAACGUUUUAAUCAUUAUUUAACAAAAUCUUUCAAAAAAACUGCUAGUCUAAUUGCUAAUAGCUGCAAAGCAGUGGCUAUUUUUGGAAAUUGUUGCGAUGACAUUGUGAAUACUGCCUACCUUUAUGGCCGACACAUAGGCUUAGCUUUUCAGGUUUGUUUGUUUUGGUUUUUUUUCUUUUCUAAUAAGAAAUUAGCAAGUAUUAAUGCUAUUAUC